ACUCCUACGGGAGGCAGCAGUGGGGAAUAUUGCACAAUGGGCGCAAGCCUGAUGCAGCCAUGCCGCGUGUGUGAAGAAGGCCUUCGGGUUGUAAAGUACUUUCAGCAGUGAGGAAGGUAGUGUAGUUAAUAGCUUGCUAUAUUUUGACGUUAGCUGCAGAAGAAGCACCGGCUAACUCCGUGCCAGCAGCCGCGGUAAUACGGAGGGUGCGAGCGUUAAUCGGAAUUACUGGGCGUAAAGCGCAUGCAGGUGGUUUGUUAAGUCAGAUGUGAAAGCCCGGGGCUCAACUCGGAA
rnacentral:rRNA from 1 species